AUAGACCUACGGGACGCAGCAGUGAGGAAUAUUGGUCAAUGGGAGAGAUCCUGAACCAGCCAAGCCGCGUGAGGGAAGACGGCCCUAUGGGUUGUAAACCUCUUUUGUCGGAGAACAAAACCCGGGACGUGUCCCGGACUGCGUGUAUCCGAAGAAAAAGCAUCGGCUAACUCCGUGCCAGCAGCCGCGGUAAUACGGAGGAUGCGAGCGUUAUCCGGAUUUAUUGGGUUUAAAGGGUGCGCAGUCGGGAGAUCAAGUCAGCGGUAAAAUGUCGGGGCUCCACCCCGGCCGGCCGUUGAAACUGG
rnacentral:rRNA from 1 species